rnacentral:rRNA from 1 species
GAUGAACGCUGGUGGCGUGCCUAAUACAUGCAAGUCGAGCGAAUGGAUUAAGAGCUUGCUCUUAUGAAGUUAGCGGCGGACGGGUGAGUAACACGUGGGUAACCUGCCCAUAAGACUGGGAUAACUCCGGGAAACCGGGGCUAAUACCGGAUAACAUUUUGAACCGCAUGGUUCGAAAUUGAAAGGCGGCUUCGGCUGUCACUUAUGGAUGGACCCGCGUCGCAUUAGCUAGUUGGUGAGGUAACGGCUCACCAAGGCAACGAUGCGUAGCCGACCUGAGAGGGUGAUCGGCCACACUGGGACUGAGACACGGCCCAGACUCCUACGGGAGGCAGCAGUAGGGAAUCUUCCGCAAUGGACGAAAGUCUGACGGAGCAACGCCGCGUGAGUGAUGAAGGCUUUCGGGUCGUAAAACUCUGUUGUUAGGGAAGAACAAGUGCUAGUUGAAUAAGCUGGCACCUUGACGGUACCUAACCAGAAAGCCACGGCUAACUACAUGCCAGCCGCCGCUGUAA